AAAAGACUUAGUCCUAACCUUACUGUUAGUUUUUGCCAAACAUAUACAUGCAAGUAUCCGCACCCCAGUGAAAAUGCCCUCAACACCUUAACAAGAUAGCAGGAGCAGGUAUCAGGCUCGCCUCUGCAGCCCAAAACGCCUUGCCCAGCCACACCCCCACGGGUAUUCAGCAGUAAUUGACAUUAAGCAAUGAGUGAAAACUCGACUUAGUUAAAGCAAUCCCCACAGGGUUGGUAAAUCUUGUGCCAGCCACCGCGGUCACACAAGAAACCCAAAUUAACUUUACACGGCGUAAAGAGUGACUUUCUAAUAUCACAUUGACUAAGAUUAAAAUGCAACUAGGCUGUCAUAAGCACAAGACGCACCCAACAUCCCCACUACCUAUUGAUCUUAGCACCACGACCAACCAAACCUCACGAAAGCCAGGACACAAACUGGGAUUAGAUACCCCACUAUGCCUUGCCCUAAAUCUCGAUGCUUUCUCCUUACCCAAGCAUCCGCCUGAGAACUACGAGCACAAACGCUUAAAACUCUAAGGACUUGGCGGUGUCCCAAACCCACCUAGAGGAGCCUGUUCUAUAAUCGAUAACCCACGAUACACCCAACCACCCCUUGCCAAACCAGCCUAUAUACCGCCGUCGCCAGCCCACCCUCAAACUGAAGGAAUGACAGUGAGCACAAUAGCCCCACUAUGCUAAAAAGACAGGUCAAGGUAUAGCCUAUGGGGUGGUAGAAAUGGGCUACAUUUUCUAUCGUAGAAAACACCCACGACAAGGAAUGUGAAACCAUUCCUUAAAGGUGGAUUUAGCAGUAAAGCAGGACAAUCACGCCUCCUUUAAGUUGGCCCUGAGACACGUACAUACCGCCCGUCACCCUCCUCACAAGCUACCUACCUCCCCUACCUAAUUCACCACCAAGCUAAAGAUGAGGCAAGUCGUAACAAGGUAAGUGUACCGGAAGGUGCACUUAGUCUACC
rnacentral:ncRNA from 1 species